rnacentral:rRNA from 1 species
UACGUAGGGUGCAAGCGUUAAUCGGAAUUACUGGGCGUAAAGGGCGCGUAGGCGGUUGGAUAAGUCAGCUGUGAAAACCACGGGCUUAACUCGUGGCCUGCAGUUGAGACUGUCUGGCUUGAGUGUGGGAGAGGAGAGUGGAAUUCCUGGUGUAGCGGUGGAAUGCGCAGAUAUCAGGAAGAACACCGGUGGCGAAGGCGGCUCUCUGGGCCUUACCUGACGCUGAGGAGCGAAAGCGUGGGUAGCGAACAGG